GCGACGUCGUCUGGUUGACCUAGCGAUUUUAAAAUUGGGGUAGCGUAUAUGUACAUCGGAAGGAGAAGGAAACAACAGAGGGUUAAAACAAUCCAUGAUCUCUGCAUGUAUAUUCCUAACAUAUGGUGCUUUUUCGCUCCAUAAGCUUGCCCGCAUAACGUUUCUAAUGCACUCGACAUCCCUAACUUCAUUUACAUGUCGAAAUUGAAACAGAGGAAGUCAGUAAUUUUGAUGAUGAAGUUCCAAUCAAAUCAAUUUGAAAGAAAUUUUUUUAGGGAUUCGUUAAAUUAGAUCUUAGGUCUAAUUCAUACCCAAAAAACAAGAAUAGAAUUGCCCAAGCCUCAUAACACGUUCAUCCUUUUCAUUUUGUCAUUCUUUAACAUGAAAAUUAUUGAAUUUGUAACUUGAAUACAACUUUUGAAUCGGGUGUUAAGAUGAUUAGAAUUUAACAAUUUUGAUGAAGAAGAUUCAAUAAAUCGUCCCUGUUUUUCAAAUGUGCAGAUGAGUACAAAUAAUAGUGUAAGAUUUGAAAGAAGUUGAGGGGAUAUGUACAUACAAGGAGACCAAAGUUGAGUCCAACAAUGACGGUAUUAGAAAUGGAGAUAGCAGCAAGUUGAACUUCACCAAGGUGACCAGCAAAACUUUGAGUG
rnacentral:lncRNA from 1 species